ensembl:lncRNA
GUGGCAGGUUGGCUAGUGGUUAGAGUGUAGAGGUGGCAGGUAGCCUAGUGGUUAGAGUGUAGAGGUGGCAGGUAGCCUAGUGGUUAGAGUGUAGAGGUGGCAGGGUAGCCUAGUGGUUAGAGUGUAGAGGUGGCAGGGUAGCCUAGUGGUUAGAGUGUAGAGGUGGCAGGGUAGCCUAGUGGUUAGAGUGUAGAGGUGGCAGGGUAUCCUAGUGGUUAGAGUGUAGAGGUGGUAGGUAACCUAGUGUUUAGAGUGUAGAGGAGGUAGGGUAGCCUAGUGGUUAGAGUGUAGAGGCGGCAGGUACCCUAGUGGUUAGAGUGUAGAGGUGGCAGGUAGCCUAGUGGUUAGAGUGUAGAGGUGGCAGGUAGCCUAGUGGUUAGAGUGUAGAGGUGGCAGGUAGCCUAGUGGUUAGAGUGUAGAGGUGGCAGGGUAGCCUAGUGGUUAGGGUGUAGAGGGGGUAGGUACACUAGUGGUUAGAGUGUAGAGGUGGCAGGUAGUCUAGUGGUUAGAGUGUAGAGGAGG